rnacentral:rRNA from 1 species
GACGAACCGUGCGAACGUUGUUCGGAAUCACUGGGCUUAAAGGGCGCGUAGGCGGGUCAUCAAGUCCGGGGUGAAAGCCCCCAGCUUAACUGGGGAAGGGCCUUGGAUACUGAUGGUCUCGAGGGGGGUAGGGGCAGUGGGAACUUCCGGUGGAGCGGUGAAAUGCGUUGAUAUCGGAAGGAACGCCGGUGGCGAAAGCGCACUGCUGGACCUUUUCUGACGCUGAGGCGCGAAAGCCAGGGGAGCAAACGGG